rnacentral:rRNA from 1 species
GGCAGUACGUUAUCGGAUACUGGGCGUAAAGCGCCGCAGCCGGUUGGAUAAGUUAGAUGUGAAAGCCCCGGCCUCAACCUGGGAAUUGCAUUUAAAACUGUCCAGCUAGAGUCUUGUAGAGUGGGGUAGAAUUCCAGGAUGUAGCGGUGAAAUGCGUAGAGAUCUUGAGGAAUACCGGUGGCGAAGGCGGCCCCCUGCACAAAGACUGACGCUCAGGUGCAAAAGCGUGGGGAGCAUACGAGGAUUAGAUACCCUCGUAAGUAUUACCGCGGCUGCUGGAGAAUUAUAGGGUGGAGCUUCUGAAGAAAGUUCUUCAAACCAAUUAAGACUUAUUGGUCCUAAAUCUAUUUAAAAAAAAAAUCCCACCUUAGUUUUAACCAGUGACAGACAAAUUUGUGACCCAGAACAGUUAAAGAUCAUAAGGAAAAAAAUGCUUAAGAUCUUGACUAUGGAUUACUUUUGUUAAGGCAAUCUUUCUCCUCUUUUUUUUUCUAGUCGGCUUCAUUGUCAUCUUCCUUUUUUGUCAAUUGCGGUGUUUUUGAUUUUUUUUGUAGUUGGUGUGUC